GCAAACUCGAGUUCUUCCAAGCGAUGAGUUACCCACAAUGCAGUAAUUCCUUGAGAUGUAUCCAUGGAGUUUCUCAUUGCUUUUAUCACUCCAAUCUGAUCAGUUUCAUCCAAAAAAGUAGUCAGUUCAUCAAGUAACAAAACUUUGCAAGCUUCCGCCAAAGCACCAGCCGUAGCAACCCUUUGUUUUUGGCCACCACUAAGAGUGUGAACUGGUUUUUUCAAAUAUUCAUACAUCCCAACUGCAUCCAAAGCUUUUGCCACCCUAGUCUUAAUCUCAUUUGGUGUUAAGUUCAAUUUACCAAGACCAAAAGCGACAUCAGCUUCCACUGUUGGCAUCACGACCUGAUGAUCAGGAUUCUGAUACACAAAGCUCCUUGGCCU
rnacentral:misc_RNA from 1 species